CCUACGGGAGGCAGCAGUGGGGAAUCUUGCGCAAUGGGCGAAAGCCUGACGCAGCCAUGCCGCGUGAAUGAUGAAGGUCUUAGGAUUGUAAAAUUCUUUCACCGGGGACGAUAAUGACGGUACCCGGAGAAGAAGCCCCGGCUAACUUCGUGCCAGCAGCCGCGGUAAUACGAAGGGGGCUAGCGUUGCUCGGAAUUACUGGGCGUAAAGGGAGCGUAGGCGGACAUUUAAGUCAGGGGUGAAAUCCCAGAGCUCAACUCUGGAACUGCCUUUGAUACUGGGUGUCUUGAGUGUGAUAGAGGUAUGUGGAACUCCGAGUGUAGAGGUGAAAUUCGUAGAUAUUCGGAAGAACACCAGUGGCGAAGGCGACAUACUGGAUCAUUACUGACGCUGAGGCUCGAAAGCGUGGGGAGCAAACAGGAUUAGAUACCCUGGUAGUCCACGCGUAACGAUANAUGNUAGUUGUCGGGUAGUAGUUUACUAUCUCGGUGACGCAGCUAACGACAUUAAGACAAUACCGCCGUCGGGGAGGGUACGGGUUCGGCGAAGAAGUUAAAACGUUAACUAAAUAGUUAAGUUAGUACGGUUCGUUGAGACGUUGCCGACGGGACGACGACGAGGGGAGGUUAGG
rnacentral:rRNA from 1 species